GCCUGCUACAUAAGCAUCUAUGACUUCUUGCUUGUGUACGACUAACAAUCUGGGAUCACUCCCGCCAAAGGUUACUCAGCAAGUUCAGUCUCCCAGUUUGUUAGUCGCACAAGUGGUUUGAGAGCUGGAAGAAGCAAAGGGUUGUGUGGGAGUGUGGGAGUGUGGGAGGUCCACCGCUGGUGUAGAGGGUGUCUCCUCACCAAGCACACUGAGGAGAUGACACCGUCAUUAUGAAGAUAAAUGUAAAGCAGCGGAUCCACUUACUAGGGGCCCCUCGGAGGAGAGAUGCUGCAGAUAAGCGUGUGGUACCUGCCUCAAAUCAAACAAGAGACACAAAUAGAACUCACGGAACACGCUGUGCUUGACGUCGUGGCUGUGAAGGGACGUCUUGAUUGCAGGCAGGCAUAUACUCCUACAGCUUCACCCCCACUGGAUCAAUCUUGGGCCUCUCUCCUUCCAACGGCCUUAGCGUGAGCGCCUUAGCCCACUCAACUAGGGAUAACGCGUCCAAUCCCUGGAGUCAGAGCCGGCAUCUGCAUGUUUCUCUGUUCGAAGAUCCAGGCAUCCAGAUGAGCCAUGCGACACCCCCUGGAGGCGUGGACCCCUAAAGCGCCCGCAGGGGCUUGCUGACUCAGCGGGGGUGGGAAGGGGCCGUACUGGUAUAGCUACAUCUACUCCUGUAAAAGCUUAAUUUUAUCUUUUUUUACUAUUUUAAAUUUUAGUAUCCAAU
ensembl:lncRNA